rnacentral:lncRNA from 1 species
UGAAUGCUCACAAACCAUUCUCUGCAGCAUGCGUCCCCAUUCAUCAAGGACUGGCCACGUGUCCUCACCCUGAUCGUGAGUUCCUCACUCACCCAGCUGAGCCUGAGUCUCUGCUCCCUUUCCCUGUCCACCUCCAAGCCUUCUUCCUGCCCUGGGACACACCCACAGACCUGCCUGGGGCUCUGGGGGUCUCCUUCCCCAUCCCUUCCUCCAUCAUUACACUUCUAGAGAUGGGAUGGAAACGUGGGGGACGGGGCAAGGAUGGUAUCCGGGUGCUUUCUGCAGGCAGCAAGGAUCCUACCUGAGAUAUUCCAGCUGCCUCUCAUCCUGAAGGAGGCGGAGGCCAUUUUCCCCCAGCUCUUCCUGGCCUCUUGCAGGUGUCCUUCAACAUGGAGCUGACGCAGCAGGAGGUGGAAAUCUUCUGUGCGAAGCACCAGCAGGGCCAGCUCAUUCCCAGCAGGUGCCACUUCCCUGUCCUCCCGCUGCACCCAGGGACCUGAUGCUGGGGCUCACGAUGUGACUCGCACUGCUCUCCACCUGCAGGUCCACAGUGCGGUCCUUAAAGGUACUGCUCUGCAGCUUGGGCCUCCAGAGGCAGACAGAGGCCAUUCAGGAGCCAUUCAGAAGCGGGGCAGCUGGGACAUGCUUCUCAGCACCGUGACCCACCUCCAGGGCAUGCAGGUGGUGGCUAGGCCUUCACGGACUGCAGCAAGACCCCAGUCCAUCCAUCUCUUCGCCAGCCCUUCUGACACUGAAGCUCCUGAAGGAAACAAGGCCACCUCCACCACCAAGAGACUCUGGGCAGCUCUUCUCCAGGCUCCACAGCGGGUGGAGGAGGUGGCACUCGUCCCAAGCAGACAGCUGAACACCCUGGAAAGUUCCCAGCAUCUCCUCCUGCCCGCUGCUCAGCUCCGCUCCUCGGGCACAUCCCUUCCCCGUUGCUGUGCCGCUCCUCAGCCCGCGGUGCCAGCUACUUCAGCAUGGUUGCCUGUCUUCUCUCUGUGGGAAAUGGGAAAACAACCCAGGAGAUCAGCACUGCCCUGAGAGGAAUGGGACGUGCAGCGCUCCCUGCCAGUGCCACACGCUUUCAGUCACUGCCAGCAAGCACCAGCUGCUCUGCUGGGCUGCAAAACGGGAUUAUAAAUAAAG